rnacentral:rRNA from 1 species
GACCUGAGAGGGUGACCGGCCACACUGGGACUGAGACACGGCCCAGACUCCUACGGGAGGCAGCAGUGGGGAAUAUUGCACAAUGGGCGAAAGCCUGAUGCAGCGACGCCGCGUGAGGGAUGAAGGCCUUCGGGUUGUAAACCUCUUUCAGCAGGGACGAAGCGCAAGUGACGGUACCUGCAGAAGAAGCACCGGCUAACUACGUGCCAGCAGCCGCGGUAAUACGUAGGGUGCAAGCGUUGUCCGGAAUUACUGGGCGUAAAGAGUUCGUAGGCGGUUUGUCGCGUCGUUUGUGAAAACUCACAGCUCAACUGUGAGCUUGCAGGCGAUACGGGCAGACUUGAGUACUGCAGGGGAGACUGGAAUUCCUGGUGUAGCGGUGAAAUGCGCAGAUAUCAGGAGGAACACCGGUGGCGAAGGCGGGUCUCUGGGCAGUAACUGACGCUGAGGAACGAAAGCGUGGGUAGCGAACAGGAUUAGAUACCCUGGUAGUCCACGCCGUAAACGGUGGGCGCUAGGUGUGGGUUCCUUCCACGGAAUCUGUGCCGUAGCUAACGCAUUAAGCGCCCCGCU